CCUACGGGGGGCAGCAGUCGAGAAUCAUUCACAAUGGGGGAAACCCUGAUGGUGCGACGCCGCGUGGGGGAAUGAAGGUCUUCGGAUUGUAAACCCCUGUCAUGUGGGAGCAAAUUAAAAAGAUAGUACCACAAGAGGAAGAGACGGCUAACUCUGUGCCAGCAGCCGCGGUAAUACAGAGGUCUCAAGCGUUGUUCGGAAUCACUGGGCGUAAAGUGUGCGUAGGCUGUUUCGUAAGUCGUGUGUGAAAGGCGCGGGCUCAACCCGCGGACGGCACAUGAUACUGCGAGACUAGAGUAAUGGAGGGGGAACCGGAAUUCUCGGUGUAGGAGUGAAAUGCGUAGAUAUCGAGAGGAACACUCGUGGCGAAGGCGGGUUCCUGGACAUUAACUGACGCUGAGGCACGAAGGCCAGGGGAGCGAAAGGGAUUAGAUACCCCUGUAGUC
rnacentral:rRNA from 1 species